CUCCCCAACCAGGGACUGAACCCAUGCCCCAUGCAUUGGAAGGUGAAGUCUUAACCACUAGACCACUGAGGA
rnacentral:tRNA from 1 species